CCAAUAAUGCUUCCCUUGACAACACUCAAACCAUCCUCCAAGUCAUAAUUUGUAAUAUACUCUUCCAUUAAUUCUACAUUAAUUGGUGGCAAGUUAUUUGACCUUCACAAAAACUGAUAUAACUGCACAUUUCUAAAAUCUCUUUACCUUUUUGGAGACUAAAAGCUUUCCAACUUCAUUGGUUCUAUAUUGAUAAGAACCACUAAGAAUGGCGAUCCCAAAUUAUUCUUAGCUCUCACAUUUUGGCAACUUUUUCUCUCUGUCCAUAGCUCUCUUUACUCUUUCUAUUAAUAUUUUGGAAUACUUGCUUCUCAUUCCUUGCUUGCACUAAUACUACUUUCUUGCUUAUUGAAGUAAACCUUAUAUUCCAAUAGUUACACUUCAAAUAACAAUGUUUGAAAUGUUGAAGAAAACUUCCAC
rnacentral:lncRNA from 1 species